ensembl:lncRNA
UUUUUACUUUAGAUUUUUAUUUCUUGUUAAGAUAGAUUUCUGGAAGUGGAAUUAUUGAAUUAAAGGGUAGGAAUAAUUUCAGGUACUUUGUGUCAUGGUGCAAAAGUCCAAAAGGACUGUGCAAAUGAAAGAACCAGUAUGCCCUGUAACGCCACCAACUUUGGAGUCAGUCAGUCAGUUCUAGCUCUGAAUAUCAGCAUCCAUGCUCUGUGACCUGGAACAAGUCAUUUUACCUCACUGAAUACUCUCCCAAUUUGUAAAUAAGCCAUCAAAAGAAAAAUAAUAAGGUGGCUCAUAAUAUUCACUUCAGAAAAUUGUUAGGAUUAAAAAUAAACACAGUUAAAUUUUUUUUGGUAAUAGUUGAUUUGACAAAUAUUAAUUAUUCGAUUAAGCUAAGAAAAAGACUGGAUGGCUGGGGGGAGAGGUGGCUUGGAGGAAGCCCCACAGGUAACAGGUAACAGAUAACAUUAUUACUACAUUUGUAUAUUCAUUUGGGUUACACAAAUCCAAGCUGUGCUAGGAACUUGGAAUAUAGUGAGUAACAAAAACAGAUGGAGACCAGCAUUACAUAAAAAAUUAUCGAAAGAACAUACAAUUGCAAACCACGACAAACGAACUUUUAAAUAAAGUAAGGGGAACAACGAAGAGGCUCUAGAAGAUAUCAAGCGACAUCAAAAAGACAAACUUCAAAGGUGACUAGAGCCCUUAGCCCACUGAAGGAGUAUACUUAUCAGCAACCCCUUCUGGAACUUUUUAUGUGUUUGGGGCUCUCUCCGCUAACAUCCCUAGGGGCCCGAGAGAGCUACAAAGUGGGCGGUGUGUCCAGACCGAAGGGGUGGGGCCCUGCCCCGGGGAGUGGCUCAGCACAGGAUCCCCAGGGACAACCCCGGGCAGGUCUGGGGAAGGAGGUCGGGGCCAUGGGCGCGGGCACCACGGGGUCCGACGACGCCGAGGCGCUGGACGCAGUGCUGGGCACGCUGCUGGCAGUACUGGUGCUGGUGGUGGUCAAGGCGGCCGUGGACGUGCUGCGGCGGCGGCGAGCGCACGCGACCGUCCUGGUGGUGGGCGCAGGGCCGGUGGGGCUGACCGCGGCUCUCGUCGCUGUCCGCUCGAGCCGGGUGCUGAAGCUGACCGUGCUGGACGCGUGCGCGCGGGGUCCGCUGCUGGGGCGCCCGCAGCAGAUUGCGCUGGACCCCCGCAGCGUCCGCUUCCUCCAGCCGCUGGGAGUGGACUUCGACAACAUGGAAGGCUGCUGGCGCAAUGGCCAAUUCUUCACCCGGGUCGGCGUCUUCCAGGAGCACCUGCUCAGCCUCCUGGAGAGGAAGGGCCAGCUGCCUGGCUUUCGUCUUAUUCUGGGCACCAAGUUUACAGAUGACUUCAUGAGAAAGGUGGUAGUGCCAGACUGGCCCAAAAUCAUUGUGGUGGCUGAUGGCUCCCAUGGGGAGACCUGCUCUGUUCUGGGGCUCAGUCCAGAUUAUGUAGUGGAAUCCUGCAAUGCUUACGGAGCUAACGCCACCAUCACGAGACUGGACCAGAGACAGGUGCCCACACCAGAAAUCCGAGCCCACAACCUCUACCUCGAUCUCUCUGCUUAUGGGAUCGAGUUCACUUCUGCAACAAAGGAAUCCCCAAUCUCGCAUCAGGCAGUCAAACAGCCAGGUUUCCACCUGAAAAUCUACGGAACCUUCCGCCAUCGAUAUAUCGCUUUGGCAUGUCCAGCUUCUGAUUCCAAAGUUGUUAGAUUUCUCCGUCAUACUGUCAGCUCCUCAGUCAUGAAGACCAUCUUCCACCAAGCGUUCAACGCCUACAAGAUGGACAUCGAGCCCCGCGUGAGGGACGCCGCCAUGUCCCGGGUGCAGUGCAGCAGAAGGCUGUUUGAGAUCACGCUGUCCCACCGGCGGGCCACAGCUGCCUACAUCCAGGGCAUAGGCAGGGUAGUCACUGUGGAGGGAGAGGCAGCUCGAGUGCUCAACUUUGACACGGGAUCUGGGGUGAAUCUUGGGCUCCAGGGCCUGGAGUCUUUGGAAGAAUUCAUUGGCAAGAUCGCGACAGCUGUGGAUCAGAGCGACAUCUUGGAAGCUUUGGCUGCCAAAAUAAGACACUCUAAACAGGUGGUUGAAGACUUUAAACAGAAUGGACUCCUCACGACAAUUUUCAAGUGACUGGGGGCGACACGACUGCCCCCCCAGAGGGUGACUCUUCUCCCUGCAGGGCAGAAAGGAGCUAGGAAUGAAGUUAGGCUGAAAUAGAAUUUCGUGAGUGUUGGCAAGUUAGCAAUUAUACACGAAAGCUACAUCGAAGCUUGGGGCCUUUAUAUAUAAAUUAAACAAGUGAAGUUUCCAAACUCAACGGUCUAAUUUCCAGAAGUCGCUGCAAUAGAUGUGAUGUGCUCAGCAGGGGAGAGUGCCUACCUCUGGCCCAGGAGAAAAUGUGCAUUAUUACUUCUGAGAAUUUUCAGAAUAAAACAGAAUCACUCUCUCCUUCUGAUGCUUCAGGGAAUCAGUUCUUAGCCUAUUAUGGCUGUAAAGGUUUACAAGUUACCCAGUUUAGGGGACCCUAAUCUCUUAGAUUUCAUGCAAUAGAGAAAGGCUUUGGUUUAUGGUUCGUUUUUAUUGUUAUUUGUGCAUUUUUUUUAGUGAGGUACAUAAUACUGAGAUUAUCAACUUUAUAAUUGUGUCACAAAAGGGUGUUUUAAAAAUGAAACAGGCAAACAAAAAAACAUCCUGUUGUCACUAUCUUUUCAUAAAAGAUAAGAUUUUAUUUAUUUUUUGGGGUGAGGAAGAUUUGCCCUGAGCUGACAUCCGUUGCCAAUCUUCCUCUUUUUUUUCUUUGCUUGAGGAAGUCCAGCCUCAAGCCAAUAUCCAUGCCAAUCUUCCUCCACGUUGUAUGCGGGACGCCUCCACAGCAUGGCUGACGAGUGGUGUAGGUCCGUGUCGGGGAUCCAAGCCCACCAACCUGGGCCACCGAAGCUGAGUGCGUGGAACUUCAAACACGCAGCUACAGGGCUGGCCCUGACAUUUUAACGCUAAAAAAGUAGGAAAUAAUAUACAUCAUCUAAGAAUUAUAUUUUUGCCAGGAACCUAAUAGAGUUUCCAGACUUACUUCCAGGUUAUAGCAGAAACAGGGAUAAAGGAAGAAUUUAAAUUGUAUCAGAUGGGAGCAGUCAGAAAAAUCAAGAAAAGAGGUUCAGAUGACAUUACCUGGAUUCUUCAGAAUGUCAGCGUCAUGAGGAAAAAAGGUGGGAGCACUGUUCCAGAUUAAAUGAGACCAAAGAGACAAGGAACCAAGUACAAUGCAUAAACCUCAAACGGCUCCUGGUUCGGGGGGAAAAAUAAGCUAUAAAAGAUAUUUUACAAUUGUUAAACAUAGACUACCAUAUGAUCCAGCAAUUCUACUUCUAGGUAUAUCCCCAUGGGAAAUGAAAACAUAUGUCCACAUAAAAACUUGUACAUGAACAUUCAUAGCAGCAUUAUUCAUAGUAGCCCAAAAGUGGACACAACCCAAAUGUCCAUCAGCUGAUGAAUGGGUAAAUAAAAUGUGGCAUAUUCAUAUAAUGGAAUAUUACUCAGGCUUAAAAAGGAAUGAAGUACUGAUACAUGCUACAAUAUGGAUGACCCUCAAAAACAUUAUGCUAAGUGAAAGAUGCCAGACGCAAAGGACCACAUGUUGUAUAAUUCCUUUGAUAGGAAAUGCCCAGAAUAGGCAAAUCCAUACAGACAGAAAGUAGAUUAUGGUUGCCAGGGGCUGAGGGGAAGGGAGAAUGAAGA